AUACGAUAAGUACUUGGCGGCAGCCGUGGAAGGCCACCGCAUGAAAAAGAAAACCGUACCUAUGUGAUAUUGACUCGGGGCCUUUAAUUACAGCUAGGCUAACGUCCUCACUCACUGAUUCUGCAGUGCCCACCUUAUAAUCCUGUUGUUUCUUUUUGCCCUUCAGGGAGCUGGAGUAAAAAAUAGAUGAUGUUAUUGCAUACCAUGGCCCAAACAACAGAAACAAUUAUCUUGUGAAACAGAAGAAAUUAGCGGGAAAGUAAGAUUUUGCAAAGGAAUGUCAAUCUAGGGUAUUCAAGGUGUCUCUGAAACACAUGUAUGAUAAACUAUUUGUUCCUAUCCUGAUUACUUAUUUGAGUUGAGAAGCUUUUUUUACUGCUAUAUGUGAUAUUAUCCUGUAUUAUAUAAAUUUGCUCUGCAGACCCUGAA